UACGAAGGGGGCUAGCGUUGUUCGGAAUAACUGGGCGUAAAGCGCACGUAGGCGGAAUGUUAAGUGAGGGGUGAAAUCCCAGGGCUCAACCCUGGAACUGCCUUUCAUACUGGCAAUCUAGAGAUCGAGAGAGGUGAGUGGAAUUCCGAGUGUAGAGGUGAAAUUCGUAGAUAUUCGGAGGAACACCAGUGGCGAAGGCGGCUCACUGGCUCGAUACUGACGCUGAGGUGCGAAAGCGUGGGGAGCAACAGGAUUCAGAUACCCCCGUAGUCC
rnacentral:rRNA from 1 species